rnacentral:rRNA from 1 species
CCUACGGGAGGCAGCAGUGAGGAAUAUUGGUCAAUGGACGAGAGUCUGAACCAGCAAAGUAGCGUGAAGGAUGACUGCCCUAUGGGUUGUAAACUUCUUUUAUAAAGGAAUAAAACGAGGCACGUGUGCCUUUUUGCAUGUACUUUAUGAAUAAGGAUCGGCUAACUCCGUGCCAGCAGCCGCGGUAAUACGGAGGCUCCGAGCGUUAUCCGGAUUUAUUGGGUUUAAAGGGAGCGUAGAUGGGUUGUUAAGUCAGUUGUGAAAGUUUGCGGCUCAACCGUAAAAUUGCAAUUGAUACUGGCAGUCUUGAGUACAGUUGAGGUAAGCGGAAUUCGUGGUGUAGCGGUGAAAUGCUUAGAUAUCACGAAGAACCCCGAUUGCGAAGGCAGCUUACUAAACUGUGACUGACAUUGAUGCUCGAAAGUGUGGGUAGCAAACAGGAUUAGAUACCCGAGUAGUC